rnacentral:rRNA from 1 species
AUUGAACGCUGGCGGCAGGCCUAACACAUGCAAGUCGAACGCGUGGCGGACGGGUGAGUAAUGUCUGGGCAACUGCCUGAUGGAGGGGGAUCACUACUGGAAACGGUAGCUAAUACCGCAUACCAUCAGAUGUGCCCAGAUGGGAUUAGCUAGUAGGGGGGGUAAUGGCUCACCUAGGCGAAGAUCCCUCGCUGGUCUGAGAGGAUGACCAGCCACACUGGAAAUGAGACACGGUCCAGACUCCUACGGGAGGCAGCAGUGGGGAAUAUUGCACAAUGGGCGCAAGCCUGAUGCAGCCAUGCCGCGUGUGUGAAGAAGGCCGUCGGGUUGUAAAGCACUUUCAGCGAGGAGGCGUUACUCGCAGAAGAAGCACCGGCGAACUCCGUGCCAGCAGCCGCGGUAAUUC